CGAGGUGCCUUCCGAGUUCCCUGGAACGGGACGCCAUAGAGGGUGAGAGCCCCGUCUGGUUGGAUACCGAGCCUCUGUAAAGCUCCUUCGACGAGUCGAGUAGUUUGGGAAUGCUGCUCUAAAUGGGAGGUAUAUGUCUUCUAAAGCUAAAUACCGGCCAGAGACCGAUAGCGCACAAGUAGAGUGAUCGAAAGAUGAAAAGCACUUUGAAAAGAGGGUUAAAUAGUACGUGAAAUUGUUGAAAGGGAAGCGCUUAUGACCAGACUUGGACCCGGUGAAUCAUCCAGCGUUCUCGCUGGUGCACUUUGCCGGGCUCAGGCCAGCAUCAGUUUGUCUCGGGGGAUAAAGGCUUAGGGAAUGUGGCUCCUCCGGGAGUGUUAUAGCCCUUUGCACAAUACCCUGGGGCGGACUGAGGUUCGCGCAUCUGCAAGGAUGCUGGCGUAAUGGUCAUCAGCGACCCGUCUUGAAACACGGACCAAGGAGUCGUCUUCGUAUGCGAGUGUUCGGGUGUAAAACCCCUACGCGUAAUGAAAGUGAACGCAGGUGAGAGCUUCGGCGCAUCAUCGACCGAUCCUGAUGUUCUCGGAUGGAUUUGAGUAAGAGCAUACGGGGCCGGACCCGAAAGAAGGUGAACUAUGCCUGUAUAGGGUGAAGCCAGAGGAAACUCUGGUGGAGGCUCGCAGCGGUUCUGACGUGCAAAUCGAUCGUCAAAYAUGGGCAU
rnacentral:rRNA from 1 species